rnacentral:piRNA from 1 species
UAGAAGAAAAAGAGGACUUUAGCCACUGG